UACAGAGGGGGCAAGCGUUGUUCGGAAUUACUGGGCGUAAAGGGCGCGUAGGCGGCCUUCUAAGUCGAACGUGAAAUCCCUGGGCUCAACCCAGGAACUGCGUCCGAUACUGGGAGGCUUGAAUCCGGGAGAGGGAUGCGGAAUUCCAGGUGUAGCGGUGAAAUGCGUAGAUAUCAGGAAGAACACCCGUGGCGAAGGCGGCUCUCUGGGACGGUACUGACGCUGAGACGCGAAAGCGUGGGGAGCGAACAGG
rnacentral:rRNA from 1 species